rnacentral:tRNA from 1 species
AGCAGCGUGGCUCAGUGGAAAGAGCACAGGCUUGGGAGCCAGAGGUCUUGGGUUUUAAUCCCUGCUCUGCCA